GGAGAAACCAUUUUAUGCAAUAUAUCGACUGUCUGUAAUUUUUCAGUGUUCUAUGUGGGCAAGGCAAAACUUCAGGCGACUGAAGAAAGCAGUAACACAUCACUAAAUGUAGAAAUAAUUAAUAACAUAACCAUCAGCAAUCACGUUGCAAAAUUAAUUCCAAUUGUGGCACCUACCCUGGAAGAAGUGAAGUGAGUAAUUUUGAAUAAGGAUUGAAACCUUUGAG
rnacentral:lncRNA from 1 species